CUGCAUCCAGAGCCCUCUCGAAUUAGAGGUGCUUCAAGGCACUUUGGGGAUUCUCCAGGAACCUUCCCAUCUUUGGGGUUCUUUGAGGAACCUGCAUGGCCAUUGUUUGUCCGCGAGCGUGGAACAUUUUGAACUGACGUGACGGACUUUCCAACGACUUUCCAUUCAACGAACAACUCAAAGAAUGAACAAAUCUGUGGAAGAAGAAGUGUGUGACUGGCCAUCUCCCCCAUGGGUCUGCUUUAAGCUGCAUGUGACUGGACCGAGUAAUCAGACAGCCAAUGUGCAAGGAGAGGAUGCAGCCAGCGUGCAAGGAGAGGAUGCAGCCAGCCUCAGGUGUCACCAGAAAAAAAAUGCAGGCCGAAUGCCUUAAGAAACAUCCCAAUCUAUCCAUCCUGCAAGACAAAAUGAUCCGCACACGAGUAGAGAGGAGAAAAUACUUGCAAACUCAUUCAACUAUGGAGGCCCUUGAAGAAUAUCCUGGGCUAAGAUUCCCAGUUAUACUCCUCACAGAAUCACAAAGCCAGCUAGAUGUUGACAUAGACCGCAGCAUCAUGACAGGAAUGGGUCAAAUCACAAAGAGGGUCAUAGAGGAAUGUCAGCGGCGAGCUACUGGACAGGACCUCUUUUGCAUGUAUGAGGAGGCCAAAUCAAUGCAACAUGAGGAGUGUCACAGAGGUCUGCAAGUCAUCCUGGGCACCUUGCUCCUUCCAUACCUGUUCAGAGAGAACCCCAUAGCACUUUAUGUGAUCAAUAGAAAGGAUCCAGAGGUUCCAACGCCGGUACUGGUCAUUACAGGGAACCCCUUCAUGGAGGCUUCUUUUGCUGUUCAACUCGACUUUCAGGAUGUCCUUACCCAAGAAGUUGAUGAGGUCACCCAGGCUUUGGCCACCCUAAUGUCUAUUUAUUUUGUUUUUAAUAUUGAAUACCAUAAGAGUGUAAAAAACACCCUCUGUUUCAUACAAAAAUACCUAAUGUCAAACACACCAGAGGGAAAGAUCAGCCCCACUGUAAUUAAAAUGGCCAAUUAUUUAUUUUCUUAAUUUGUUUUGUAUUGGUCGAAAUAUAUAUAUCUUUGAGGAUAUAAUGCAAAAAAAAAAGAGUCUCACACACACACACACACACACUCAGAGUUUGACUCUUUGCUCUGCUGUCUCCUUUAGGUAGUAGGUAGUGUUUAUUAUUAAUUAUUUAUUUAUUUUGUUUGUUUAUUUUGUAAUUAUUAUUAUUAUUGUAGGCUAUGUAUUUAUUAAUGUAUUAACUUUAUUC